rnacentral:lncRNA from 1 species
AGUACCAUAUGUGAAGGAACAUGCGCCUGUGGGAGGGAUCAAUGGUUCUGCAAAGCCCGACAUCAGAUGUCCGAGAGGCAACGGACACCACACGUAUGAACACAAAUCCAUUAUACUCAUGGAAUUGCAUAGAUUUUAAGAUCGAAUAAUGACAGUAAAAGAUGCCCUUGCGCUUGCAUGUGUGAAUCCUGGAUCCAUC